rnacentral:tRNA from 1 species
GAGGGUAUAGCUCAGCCGUAGAGCGGCUGCUUAGCAUGCAUGAGGUCCUGGGUUCAGUCCCCAGUACCUCCA